UACGAAGGGGGCUAGCGUUGCUCGGAAUCACUGGGCGUAAAGCGCACGUAGGCGGCUUUUUAAGUCAGGGGUGAAAUCCUGGAGCUCAACUCCAGAACUGCCUUUGAUACUGAGAAGCUUGAGUCCGGGAGAGGUGAGUGGAACUGCGAGUGUAGAGGUGAAAUUCGUAGAUAUUCGGAAGAACACCAGUGGCGAAGGCGGCUCACUGGACUGGUAUUGACGCUGAGGUGCGAAAGCGUGGGGAGCAAACAGG
rnacentral:rRNA from 1 species